UACUAUCAUUUUCUCCAAUGCCCUUCAUCAGCACCUAUAGACUAGUUUCCUGGCCCGGUAUAUCUUGAUCAUCAUCAACCAGAUAUUCAAAACCAUUAGUUACUUUUGUAAUAUGAAUCUGAUGCUGCACAUCUAAGCUUUUAGCUACCGAUUUAGUUGUAACCUACAGCCAUGUAUCCUCUUUUUCCACCUGUGAUUUCCCUAUAUCUGUAUCUUUGGGUGCAGGCCUUUGUUUUGAUGUGCUACUUCCAUAAACAGGUUUCUUCUACCACUUUUGAUGAGGUGUAAUAGUUUUAAGGUGCAAGCCUUUGUUUUGUAAUAUUGAUGUACUUAUGUUGCUUCUUAUCUUUUGUAUUCUUCAUUGGAGCUUGAUUACAAUUUGCGUACCAGAUUAAAAAAGACCAACUGGGGCUAUAUUUACUUCAGUUAGAUUCAUUAAGGCUCCAUUGCAGCAAGACCCUUUUUUGCUACCGUAAGAAAAUGUCUAGUAAAGAAAAUCAAUUGCAUCAAAAGGUAAUGUUAAUGGACGACGUAAGAAAAGUAAGAAUGGAAUUGAUAAUCUUACUGCAGGUCAAUAUACCGUACCACCACCACAACCACCACCACCUGUUACCACAACUCUUCAACCAACUACUCCAAAUAUUCUUCCCCCUCCUAAAUACACUAUUUCACUACCAAAGGCCUUUUUCAUGCCUCAACCGUCUGACCAGUUCCACACCUCUUCAUUCCAAAAUAGUCUACAUAGUAGCUCUUCAUCUGUGCCGUCGACAUCAUCUGCACCAAGCCUUUCUGGAUUGAGAGUUAGAGGUCCUAACACACCAACAUCGCCAUCCAUGGACAGUGCCACAACACCUAGUGCUGCAUCAGCUGCUUCUCAGAAUUUGUAAUUUAAAGAUGUAUUAGAAUGUGACGAUGUUGGGAGGCUACAAAUCGUCCCUUAUCAUGAUGGGUUCAUUCCACAAUAUGCUCGCGCGCAUAUGGUUAUAGAAGCAAUUAAACCAUUUUUCAAUGAGCCGUGGAAUAGUUGGUUAGAGAUUCCAUACAAAAUUAGAAUUGUUAUGUGGAAACAGUUUGUGUUAUAAGCAGUUUUAUAAGCUAUAAUUCUCAUUGCCUAAAUAUAGUUUUUUUUAUUAUAUCCAUCAACUCAUUUUAUGAUUUUAUAUUAAAUUAUUUUGCAGACAAAGUGUACAUAGAGUGAUUGUCAUGAUAAUGAUGUAGACCGCAUUUUUGGUUGAAAGCAGCUCUACGGGUCAAAGAACACUUGUAUGAGGCCCGGAAUAAAUUGGUAAAACCUAGUUUGUUGAAUGAUGAAGUUUGGUCUAAGUUCUUGAUAUUAUGGGAUACUCCUGAAUAUAAGGAGAAGAGGGAAUGGGGAAAGGAAAAUCGAGCCUCUGAAAUGGGCGGCUCGCUGCACACCGAAGGUUCGAUGAGUUUCUCUACCCACCAAAGAAGAUUGAUAGAGUAGGACGCCCGAGCCUUUAUGGUUCAUGAUGUCUGUCAUGGUCAGGCCCUAGUUCGGGUCGUGACAUCUUCCUACAACCUUCGCAAAGACACAUAUGAAGAAAAACCCAGACGGUACAAGAGCAGAGUGGGUCGAACCGCGUGCUAAGGAUGCAUUUAAGGGAUUUCAAAAAAGCAUUGAAUAUUGGUGUCAAACUCAACCUGCUUCAGAGGAUGGUACCAUGGUCCAACCAUCGCCUGUUGAUAUGACUAGAAUAUGAACAACUGUGGUAGGUGGUCCAAAGAAGGGUAAAAUCUACGGGCUUGGAGUUAACCAAUCCUCGAGUAGUUCUUCCCCAAUGUUACCCAACUCCUCUUCUAUUUCACAAAAUGCAGAAGAAAUGGAAAGAACAAAAAUUGAAGAGUUGACGCAAUACUGUGCAAAAUUUGCAAGUUUGAGGCGUUAGUUAAGAAGCAUAUGCUGCAAGUAUUUGAGGAUGGGGAAGAUAGUGAAUCAGGUGAUUAGAUUACAUUGUAGUGGUUGGUUCUUGUUUAUGAUAGUGACAUUUAGACUUAAACUAUUACAAUUGGCGUUUGUUUUGGAUUGUGACGUUUAGACUUGUCUUGAAAUGCUUAUACUAUUUGAUUCCGCUAUUUGUUUUGGAUGUUUCAAAGUGGUUGAAUUUUU